rnacentral:tRNA from 1 species
UUAGCUCAGUUGGUAGAGCAGUUGACUUUUAAUCAAUUGGUCGUAGGUUCGAAUCCUGCA